GACAGAGGGUGCAAACGUUGUUCGGAAUUACUGGGCGUAAAGCGCACGUAGGCGGCCUGAUAAGUCGGGUGUGAAAGCCCUGGGCUCAACCCAGGAAGUGCACUCGAAACUGUCAGGCUUGAAUAUGGAAGAGGGUCGCGGAAUUCCCGGUGUAGAGGUGAAAUUCGUAGAUAUCGGGAGGAACACCAGUGGCGAAGGCGGCGAUCUGGGCAGAUACUGACGCUGAGGUGCGAAAGCGUGGGGAGCAAACAGG
rnacentral:rRNA from 1 species